UUCAAGUAAUCCAGGAUAGGUU
rnacentral:ncRNA from 16 species